UACGAAGGGGGCUAGCGUUGCUCGGAAUUACUGGGCGUAAAGGGCGCGUAGGCGGCACUGUUAGUCAGACGUGAAAUCCCUCGGCUUAACCGGGGAACUGCAUCUGAUACUGGAUGGCUUGAGUUCGGGAGAGGGAUGCGGAAUUCCAGGUGUAGCGGUGAAAUGCGUAGAUAUCUGGAGGAACACCGGUGGCGAAGGCGGCAUCCUGGACCGACACUGACGCUGAGGAGCGAAAGCCAGGGGAGCAAACGGG
rnacentral:rRNA from 1 species